AGUGAACGCUGGCGGUAGGCCUAACACAUGCAAGUCGAACGGCAGCACAGUAAGAGCUUGCUCUUACGGGUGGCGAGUGGCGGACGGGUGAGGAAUACAUCGGAAUCUACUUUUUCGUGGGGGGUAACGUAGGGAAACUUACGCUAAUACCGCAUACGACCUACGGGUGAAAGCAGGGGAUCUUCGGACCUUGCGCGAUUGAAUGAGCCGAUGUCGGAUUAGCUAGUUGGCGGGGUAAAGGCCCACCAAGGCGACGAUCCGUAGCUGGUCUGAGAGGAUGAUCAGCCACACUGGAUCUGAGACACGGUCCAGACUCCUACGGGAGGCAGCAGUGGGGAAUAUUGGACAAUGGGCGCAAGCCUGAUCCAGCCAUACCGCGUGGGUGAAGAAGGCCUUCGGGUUGUAAAGCCCUUUUGUUGGGAAAGAAAAGCAGCAGGUUAAUACCCCGCUGUUCUGACGGUACCCAAAGAAUAAGCACCGGCUAACUUCGUG
rnacentral:rRNA from 1 species